rnacentral:rRNA from 2 species
UAGCUAAAUGCGGAAGAGAUAAGUGCUGAAAGCAUCUAAGCACGAAACUUGCCCCGAGAUGAGUUCUCCCUGAGACUAUAAGUCUCCUGAAGGAACGUUGAAGACGACGACGUUGAUAGGCCGGGUGUGUAAGCGCAGCGAUGCGUUGAGCUAACCGGUACUAAUGAACCGUGAGGCUUAACCUUACAACGCCGAAG